UACGACCCACGUGUGGUCAGUGCUACUGUAGGAAUUUUUGUAGGAAUAUUUGAGGGACAGUGAAAAGUGUUUGUCUGGUUUUUCUUUUUGUUUCUGCUGCGACCACUUGCUGGGCCACUUUUGGCCACAUGUGGCCCACGUGCCGCCAUUUGAAUAGGUCUUUCUAUGAAUAAGAGAACAUUUUCAAUAUUUUCUAUAUUUGAUUAAUUGCAGUUAAAAUCAAAUCUAUUUUUCAUGUCUUUCUCCUGUUAUGUAGCUAUAAUGUGAGCCUGCUGGAGGACUGGCUGCGUAGCCGUGAUGUGCAUGCAGGGGGCGCUGUGGCCACACUGGAGCCUCUCAUCCAGGCCGUUCAGCUGCUGCAGGCAGGGAAAAAAACUGACGAUGACGCUCAGGCCCUCGUCCACACCUGCACUGCUCUGUCCAGCCAGCAGAUAUUGAAGAUUCUGAGCCUCUACACUCCCCACAGUGACCAUGAUGAAAGAGUUUCACUCAAUUUCAUCCGUACCGUGCAGGGGCUUCUCAAAAGCCAUUCUGACGGUCAGCCUCCUCUGCUCCACAUGGACGUGAGGCGAGUGUUUCCUGUCAGCUUCCCUUACUCUCCUCCUGCGGCCCUUCACGCUGACCACUUAAUCAUCCCAGACUCCCUGAAGAUCUCCUUCCUACGCAGAGUCUAGAGAACAGUGCGUCCGACCUUUUUAGAUUUAGUGAAAUUAAAUAUCUCCCAGGAUGUGCCUUGAAUUUGAUUCAGAAUUGAUUCAUUCAUCACUGUUGAGGGGAUCAGUGGUCAAGUUGGCUUGAAUGUUAAAGUAAUAUGAUAUAAAUCAGCAUGGGACGAAAUAGUCAAUUUUCUUGGCUUGUGAGUAUUUUAAUUUAAAAAAUAUGACACGCUGCAUGUUCGAUAAAUCGAAAGUCAGGCAUUUAGAUUUUCGAGAUGGUGCAGCUUGCUCGUACAUUUUGGCAAAUAAGAAACGAAAGGAAUAAGUUUUACAAAGAUAUUUGUAUUUUUUUUACUGGAAGCAGAAACACAACGGGACCACAGUCCCAAUCAAUCAAUCAAUCAACCCCCAAUAAGAACAACCAGAAUUAAAAAAGAAAACAAAAAUUAGAAACAUCUUGUGUAUAAAAAAUUUCUCAUGCGAGUACUUUGUACCACUGCACAUCAUCAUCAUCAUCAUCAUCAGUAAUACAUAUUUAUAUAUUCACAACCAUUUGAAAAAUAGAAAACAAUAAAGAAAAUACCAAAAUAAAGGAGACAACAAUUGGCAACAUCAAAUAAUGCGUGCUGGCACUAUAUGCAUAUAUGUGUAUAUGUACACACAUAUAUAUAUGUGUACAUAUACACGUAUAAAUAUAAUGUGUGUGUUUUUUUCUUUAUUUUUUUGACUUGUUCCUAUCAUGCACCAUGUCUGGAAGUCACAGGACGGACAUUACUGUGCAUUUGUUUGUGUGGACAGCUGGACACGACAGGACAGAUCAUGCACGUCUGUCUCUUUUGUGUCUGUGCUUUUUUGUUGUGCUUUUACAUCAUGUCCUCCACUUCUGUGUGCAGUCCUGUUUCACUUGUGAUUAGUCCCAAAUAGCAAACCGAGUUCCUCGAGUAAAGUAUCAUUGUCAACAGCAAUAAAUAAAAAUCUUUCCCCGUGGCAUUUCCAGCUAUGUGACAGUUAUUGACCUGUUAUGUAACAGAAAGAGCAGAUGUCCUGUGUAAAACACCUGGAACACAACUUUCCUAGAUUCAGUUCAGUUGUAUUUACUAACACAAUCCUUUUUUUUUUUUCAGAAUUGUUGGUUAUUAUUGACAAUCCACUCAUCUCCUUUCACACACACACACACACGCGCACACACACAAACUGCCCACUCAACCAGAGCAAAAUUCAAUUGUACAACAGAGCAGCAACCUUCACAUAGUCUGGUGAGUUUGGUUGUAACAUCCCAACUACAAACAUCGGCCAAAUAAACAACACCAUCCAAUCUCUCUGUGUUCCUGAUUAUUUUCCCUGUACAAACAAAUGUGAGUCUUUAAUCAGCUCCACUACACCUGUAAUGUUUGGCCCCGUUACUAUAGAGACAGCAUUUACAACAUAUCAGACAAACGAGCUUGCACUGAUAUAAUUAGAACAAUAAUCCACAAUGUAAACAUUACAAGACUGUGUCAUCUACAUAGGUUUUUUUUUUUUUGAAGAUAGAUUAAAUGCAUAGUGUUCAGCUCUUAUACCUUAAAGCAGAGGGAGUUUUAAAUUAUUCAGCAGUGAUCAAGUGCUUUU